rnacentral:rRNA from 1 species
AUUGAACGCUGGCGGCAGGCCUAACACAUGCAAGUCGAACGAGUGGCGGACGGGUGAAUAAUGUCUGGGAAACUGCCUGCUGGUGGGGGAUAACUACUGGAAACGGUUGCUAAUACCGCAUACCAUCAGAGGUUCCCAGAUGGGAUUAGCUUGUUGGUGGGGUAACGGCUCACACAGGCGCAGAUCCCUAGCUGGUCUGAGAGGAUGACCGGCCACACUGGAACUGGGACACGGUCCAGACGCCUACGGGAGGCAGCAGUGGGGAAUAUUGCACAAUGGGCGCAAGCCUGAUGCAGCCAUGCCGCGUGUAUGGAGGAGGCCUUCGGGUUGUAAAGUACUUUCAGCGGGGAGGCGUUACCCGCAGAAGAAGCACCGGCUAACUCCGUGCCAGCAGCCGCGGUAAUAC